rnacentral:misc_RNA from 1 species
UACAGAGAGUGCAAGCGUUAAUCGGAAUUACUGGGCGUAAAGCGCACGUAGGUGGAUAUUUAAGUCAAAUGUGAAAGCCCUGGGCUUAACCUGGGAAUUGCAUCUGAUACUGGAUAUCUUGAGUAUGGUAGAGGGGAGUGGAAUUUCCGGUGUAGCGGUGAAAUGCGUAGAUAUCGGAAAGAACACCAGUGGCGAAGGCGGCUCCCUGGAUCAAUACUGACACUGAGGUGCGAAAGCGUGGGGAGCAAACAGG